UGGGGGAUAUUGCGCAAUGGGGGCAACCCUGACGCAGCAACGCCGCGUGAAGGAUGAAGGUUUUCGGAUUGUAAACUUCUUUUAUUAAGGACGAAACUUGACGGUACUUAAUGAAUAAGCUCCGGCUAACUACGUGCCAGCAGCCGCGGUAAUACGUAGGGAGCAAGCGUUGUCCGGAUUUACUGGGUGUAAAGGGUGCGUAGGCGGCUUUGCAAGUCAGAUGUGAAAUCCGCGGGCUCAACCCGCGAACUGCAUUUGAAACUGUUUCCCUUGAGUAUCGGAGAGGUAACCGGAAUUCCUAGUGUAGCGGUGAAAUGCGUAGAUAUUAGGAAGAACACCAGUGGCGAAGGCGGGUUACUGGACGACAACUGACGGUGAGGCGCGAAAGCGUGGGGAGCAAACAGGAUUAGAUACCCUGGUAGUCCACGCUGUAAACGAUCAAUACUAGGUGUGCGGGGACUGACCCCCUGCGUGCCGCAGUUAACACAAUAAGUAUUGCACCUGGGGAGUACGAUCGCAAGGUUGAAACUCAAAGGAAUUGACGGGGGCCCGCACAAGCGGUGGAUUAUGUGGUUUAAUUCGAAGCAACGCGAAGAACCUUACCAGGGCUUGACAUCCUACUAACGAAGUAGAGAUACAUUAGGUGCCCUUCGGGGAAAGUAGAGACAGGUGGUGCAUGGUUGUCGUCAGCUCGUGUCGUGAGAUGUUGGGUUAAGUCCCGCAACGAGCGCAACCCCUAUUGUUAGUUGCUACGCAAGAGCACUCUAGCGAGACUGCCGUUGACAAAACGGAGGAAGGUGGGGACGACGUCAAAUCAUCAUGCCCCUUAUGUCCUGGGCUACACACGUAAUACAAUGGCGGUCAACAGAGGGAUGCAAAGCCGCGAGGCAGAGCGAACCCCUAAAAGCCGUCCCAGUUCGGAUUGCAGGCUGCAACCCGCCUGCAUGAAGUCGGAAUCGCUAGUAAUCGCGGAUCAGCAUGCCGCGGUGAAUACGUUCCC
rnacentral:rRNA from 1 species